AUUGGACGCUGGCGGCAGGCUUAACACAUGCAAGUCGAGCGGGGGAGGUUGCUUCGGUAAUUGACCUAGCGGCGGACGGGUGAGUAAUACUUAGGAAUCUGCCUAUUAAUGGGGGACAACAUCUCGAAAGGGAUGCUAAUACCGCAUACGCCCUACGGGGGAAAGCAGGGGAUCACUUGUGACCUUGCGUUAAUAGAUGAGCCUAAGUCGGAUUAGCUAGUUGGGGGGGUAAAGGCCUACCAAGGCGACGAUCUGUAGCGGGUCUGAGAGGAUGAUCCGCCACACUGGGACUGAGACACGGCCCAGACUCCUACGGGAGGCAGCAGUGGGGAAUAUUGGACAAUGGGGGGAACCCUGAUCCAGCCAUGCCGCGUGUGUGAAGAAGGCCUUAUGGUUGUAAAGCACUUUAAGCGAGGAGGAGGCUCUUUUGGUUAAUACCCAAGAUGAGUGGACGUUACUCGCAGAAUAAGCACCGGCUAACUCUGUGCCAGCCGCCGCCGUAAGAC
rnacentral:rRNA from 1 species